UCACGGAAUGGAAAAGUUGUCACUGAUUUGAAUCCAGCCAGCCUCUCAAGAGAAAGUGUCGAUGAUCAAGCCUUCCUUUGGCCCAGGUUACAUGAAGGUCAAAUGACAUGAAGAAUGGGAAAGGAUUUUAUGAGUGUUCAAAUGUUGGGGGAGCGUCUUAUCACAGAGGACUUUCUGCAGGAGGACAUCCACACUCCUCCUGUCACUGGAUCAGCCAGGAACAUCACCACACUCAGCCAGCUGCACAAUCUGCCAUAGCUGUGUUCUGAGAACUUCUGUAAACAAAGUAAUAUUAAUUAUGGAGAUGAUGAAAUCACAAUCAAAAUUCCAAACUAAGUUCAUCUGCAACCCACGAUCACACUACAUCUUGGCGGGAAUAUGCUGGUUUGAAGUAGUCAAGGGCUGGAGUUUGAAAGAGGAACAAAUGAAGCCUGACCUUGGGAGGAACUUCCAAAGAUUCUGAGCCAACUCCCAACAGGGAGCUCUCAGGAUUCAGCGAGUGUCCUGAGUGUGCUGUCUGUCUGUGACGCCGGCUAGGCCAAGCCUGAUGGUUCCUCAUGAGAAUGUCCUGGCCUGUGCUGCUGAAGGUGUGGUCCACAGUGGGGUCAGUCUGCUGUUUCCAGUCUCCAAUGCAACUCAUCCAUGAACAUAUGUGCAGAGUUUGUAAACCUUCCAUUUUUCUGUUAUUUCUGUAUGUAUUUAUUGAUUUUUUUGUGUAAAAUGUAAAA
rnacentral:lncRNA from 1 species